AGGACGAACGCUGGCGGCGUGCUUAACACAUGCAAGUCAAGGGGGCCCAGCAAUGGGCAACCGGCGAACGGGUGCGUAACACGUGAGCAACCUACCGAAAUGUGGGGGAUAGCCGGCCUAACGGCCGAGUAAUACCGCAUACGCUCUCGAUGAGGCAUUUCAUUGAGAGGAAACCUACGGGACAUUUCGAGGGGCUCGCGGCCUAUCAGCUAGUUGGCGAGGUAACGGCUCACCAAGGCAGCGACGGGUAGC
rnacentral:rRNA from 1 species